rnacentral:rRNA from 1 species
UACGAAGGAUCCAAGCGUUGUCCGGAUUUACUGGGUUUAAAGGGUGCGUAGGCGGGGAAUUAAGUCAGUGGUGAAAGCUGGUAGCUCAACUAUCAAAUUGCCAUUGAAACUGAUUUUCUCGAGUACGGUUGAGGUAGCUGGAAUGUAACAUGUAGCGGUGAAAUGCUUAGAUAUGUUACAGAACACCAAUUGCGAAGGCAGGCUACUAAACCGUAACUGACGCUGAGGCACGAAGGCGUGGGGAUCAAACAGG